rnacentral:rRNA from 1 species
GACGAACGCUGGCGGCGUGCCUAAUACAUGCAAGUAGAACGCUGAAGGAGGAGCUUGCUUCUCCGGAUGAGUUGCGAACGGGUGAGUAACGCGUAGGUAACCUGCCUGGUAGCGGGGGAUAACUAUUGGAAACGAUAGCUAAUACCGCAUAAGAGUAGAUGUCGCAUGACAUUUGCUUAAAAGGUGCAACUGCACCACUACCAGAUGGACCUGCGUUGUAUUAGCUAGUUGGUGAGGUAACGGCUCACCAAGGCAACGAUACAUAGCCGACCUGAGCGGGUGAUCGGCCACACGGGGACUGAGACACGGCCCAGACUCCUACGGGGGGAAGCAGUAGGGACACUUCGGCAAUGGACGGAAGUCUGACCGAGCGACGACGCGUGAGUGAAGAAGGUUUUCGGAUCGGAGAGCUCUGUUGUAAGAGAAGAACGAGUGUGAGAGUGGAAAGUUCACACUGUGACGGUAUCUUACCAGAAAGGGACGGCUAACUACGUG